rnacentral:rRNA from 1 species
UACGUAGGGGGCAAGCGUUGUCCGGAUUUAUUGGGCGUAAAGAGCGUGUAGGCGGCCAUUUAGGUCCGGUGUGAAAACUCGAGGCUUAACCUCGAGAUGUCAUCGGAAACCAUUUGGCUAGAGUCCGGAAGAGGAGAGUGGAAUUCCUGGUGUAAGCGGUGAAAUGCGCAGAUAUCAGGAAGAACACCAAUGGCGAAAGCAGCUCUCUGGGACGGUACUGACGCUGAGACGCGAAAGCGUGGGGAGCGAACAGG